rnacentral:lncRNA from 1 species
UUUUUUUCGAUUGCAGACAACAUAAAAAUUACUUUAUUAUAUAAAUUUUUGUGUUAUAAAAUAUAAAUAAUAAUAUAAACAAACAAUCAGCUGAUUUUGAAAUAUGUUGAAUGUUUCCCCUCAUAAAUCUAGAGCGCCGACUUCCGCUUUGACAGUGAAGGACAAACCUAGUAUUGGUUGUUUUGUUACUCUGAUAAAUGGAAAAAUUUAUAUAAUAAAACUUAUUUAUCGGAUUUUAUGUGUGGAAAACGGAAAAAUCAUAUUAUUUAGAAAGGAUCAAACAUUCCCAAAUUAUAAUUUAUUGGACCAAGAUAUCUGUAAAAAAGAAAUAUGGAUAAACUAAGAAGGAAAUGUGUAACAUGAUAGAGCAAGUUUGACAAAUUCAGACAAACUAUUCUUGAAUUUUUGGGGCUGCAAAGAUCACAAAAAUAUUAGUUGAUUCGGAUUGAAUUCAAAUUAAAGAGUUAAUUAAAAAAUUAUUAAGAUACCAUCGUAAAAUCCAAUUUUUGAC